rnacentral:rRNA from 1 species
AACCCCUGUCCCAUGUUGCCAGCAUUAAGUUGGGGACUCAUGGGAGACUGCCGGCGGUCAAGCCGGAGGAAGGUGGGGGAUGACGUCAAGUCAUCAUGCCCCUUAUGUCUUGGGCUGCACACGUGCUACAAUGGCCGGUACAAUGGGCUGCGAUGGGGUGACCCGGAGCGAAUCCCACAAAACCGGCCCCAGUUCGGAUCGAAGGCUGCAACUCGCCUUCGUGAAGUCGGAGUUGCUAGUAAUCGCGGAUCAGCACGCCGCGGUGAAUACGUUCCCGGGCCUU